rnacentral:lncRNA from 1 species
GCAAUUUGAGUUUGAGUUUCUUUGACUCUCUUUGGAGGCCAUUCUGAUUUUCGUGCUCACUUUGUCCUAGUGUUACUUUUGGAGAGGAUCGUACUAUAUACACUUUUAUGCUUGUGGAUAAUUUAAAACUAAGGCUAUAGAACAUAAGUUGUACACGAUAUAAUCUUCAAUGCUGAAUUGCUUGACUUUCAUAGAAGAUUCUAGAUUUGGCUUGAUGAGAAUUCUGAGCCACUUGGCAAGUGUUGAUCUUAUUACCUGCA